CUUUCUGUGUCUCAGUCAGUAAAGCAUUGCGCUAGCAAUGCAAAGGUUGUGGUUUCAAACCCAAGGGAAAGU